rnacentral:rRNA from 1 species
CCUACGGGGGGCUGCAGUGGGGGAUAUUGCACAAUGGGGGGAACCCUGAUGCAGCGACGCCGCGUGGGUGAAGGAGUGCUUCGGCAUGUAAAGCCCUAUCGGCAGGGAAGAAGCAAGACGGUACCUGACUAAGAAGCACCGGCUAACUACGUGCCAGCAGCCGCGGUAAUACGUAGGGGGCGAGCGUUAUCCGGAUUCACUGGGUGUAAAGGGAGCGUAGACGGCCAUGCAAGCCAGGGGUGAAAGCCUGGGUCCCAACCCCGAGACUGCACUUGAAACUGUGCGGCUAGAGUGCGGGAGGGGCAGGCGGAAUUCGUGGUGUAGCGGUGAAAUGCGUAGAUAUCAGGAAGAACACCGGCGGCGAAGGCGGCCUGCUGGACUGCGACUGACGUUGAGGCUCGAAAGCGUGGGGAGCGAACAGGAUUAGAUACCCGAGUAGUC